UAGGGAAUCUUCCGCAAUGGACGAAAGUCUGACGGAGCAACGCCGCGUGAGUGAAGAAGGAUUUCGGUUCGUAAAACUCUGUUGUUAGGGAAGAAAAAAUGUAUAGUAACUAUAUACAAAAGAGACGGUACCUAACCAGAAAGCCACGGCUAACUACGUGCCAGCAGCCGCGGUAAUACGUAGGUGGCAAGCGUUGUCCGGAAUUAUUGGGCGUAAAGCGCGCGCAGGUGGUUUAGAAAGUCUGAUGUGAAAGCCCACGGCUCAACCGUGGAGGGUCAUUGGAAACUAAUAAACUUGGGUGCAGGAGAGAAGAGUGGAAUUCCUGGUGUAGCGGUGAAAUGCGUAGAGAUUAGGAGGAACACCGGUGGCGAAAGCGGCUUUUUGGCCUGCAACUGACACUGAGGGGCGAAAGCGUGGGGAGCAAACAGG
rnacentral:rRNA from 1 species